UAAGCAGGUAACGUUAACCAGCUGCUGCAUGCAGGUAAAAGCUGUUUGCUAGGGGAUAAAUAAGUGUAGAAAUGCUAAAAAGCAAGAGUCUCCUGUAAUAAGUAAAGUCAUCUUCCUGAGGGCUGGAGGUUGAGCAGAGCUGCAGUGAGGAAUUGCUCCUGGCAGCUGAUUUGUAGUGGUUCUACACAAGAGACCCCCCCCCUCCUAGGUUAACUCUGGAUCCUGCCAACUUCUACUACCCUCAUUCCUAAAGGCAACCCUGACAAGAUGCAGGGUUGCAGAGCUGGAGUACAACACAGUGGGCAGUGGAGAGCCAGGCUGGGAACAUCAGGAACAGGGCACCUCCAUACAUGUAAAAGAGAUAGAUAGAGAAAACAGAAAGAAAAGAAAAAAAAGAAAAAAGCAAGAGUUAGUAGCU
rnacentral:lncRNA from 1 species